GACGAACGCUGGCGGCGCGCUUAACACAUGCAAGUCGAGCGAGAACCGGACCUUCGGGUCCGGGGAAAGCGGCGAACGGGUGAGUAACACGUGGGUAACCCACCCUUGGUACUGGGAUAGCCCGGGGAAACCCGGAUUAAUACCGGAUGGCCCAACAGCUCUUCGGGGCGGUUGGAAAAGGUAGCUUCGGCCUCCGACCAAGGACGGGCCCGCGGCGGAUUAGCUUGUUGGUGGGGUAACGGCCCACCAAGGCGACGAUCUGUAGCUGGUCUGAGAGGACGAGCAGCCACACUGGGACGGAGACACGGCCCAGACUCCGACGGGAGGCAGCAGUGGGGAAUCUUGCGCAAUGGGCGAAAGCCUGACGCAGCGACGCCGCGUGGGGGAAGAAGGCUUUCGGGUUGUAAACCCCUUUCAGGAAGGACGAAGCCACUCGGGUGAGUAGCCCAGAGGGUGACGGUACUUCCAGAAGAAGCCCCGGCUAACUACGUGCCAGCCGCCGCCGUAA
rnacentral:rRNA from 1 species